rnacentral:rRNA from 1 species
AGUGAACGCUGGCGGUAGGCCUAACACAUGCAAGUCGAACGGCAGCACAGUAAGAGCUUGCCCUUACGGGUGGCGAGUGGCGGACGGGUGAGGAAUACAUCGGAAUCUACUUUUUCGUGGGGGAUAACGUAGGGAAACUUACGCUAAUACCGCAUACGACCUACGGGUGAAAGCAGGGGAUCUUCGGACCUUGCGCGAUUGAAUGAGCCGAUGUCGGAUUAGCUAGUUGGCGGGGUAAAGGCCCACCAAGGCGACGAUCCGUAGCUGGUCUGAGAGGAUGAUCAGCCACACUGGAACUGAGACACGGUCCAGACUCCUACGGGAGGCAGCAGUGGGGAAUAUUGGACAAUGGGCGCAAGCCUGAUCCAGCCAUACAGCGUGGGUGAAGAAGGCCUUCGGGUUGUAAAGCCCUUUUGUUGGGAAAGAAAAGCAGCAGGUUAAUACCCCGCUGUUCUGACGGUACCCAAAGAAUAAGCACCGGCUAACUUCGUG